CCUACGGGUGGCUGCAGUGGGGAAUUUUGGACAAUGGGGGCAACCCUGAUCCAGCCAUGCCGCGUGCGGGAAGAAGGCCUUCGGGUUGUAAACCGCUUUUAGCCGGGAAGAAAAGGCGAGGGAUAACACCCUUCGUUCUUGACGGUACCGGCGGAAUAAGCACCGGCUAACUACGUGCCAGCAGCCGCGGUAAUACGUAGCGGGCGAGCGGGAAGCGGAGUUAGUGGACGUAGUGCGUGCGCAGGCGGGUGAAAGCCCCGGGCUCAACCUGGGAAUGGCAUUGGAUACUGGCGGGCUUGAGUGUGGCAGAGGGGGGUGGAAUUCCGCGUGUAGCAGUGAAAUGCGUAGAGAUGCGGAGGAACACCGAUGGCGAAGGCAGCCCCCUGGGCUGACACUGACGCUCAGGCACGAAAGCGUGGGGAGCAAACAGGAUUAGAUACCCCGGUAGUC
rnacentral:rRNA from 1 species